CCUACGGGUGACAGCAGUGGGGAAUAUUGCGCAAUGGGCGAAAGCCUGACGCAGCGACGCCGCGUGAAGGAUGAAGGUCCUCGGAUCGUAAACCUCUGUCUGCAGGGAAGAACGGUCACUGUGCUAAUCAGCAGUGAAUUGACGGUACCUGCAAAGGAAGCACCGGCUAACUCCGUGCCAGCAGCCGCGGUAAUACGGCGGGUGCGAGCGUUAAUCGGAAUUACUGGGAGUAAAGCGCUCGUAGGCGGUAUGUCAAGUCAAGGGUGAAAUCCCCGCGCUCAACGUGGGAACUGCCUUUGAAACUGGCAAACUGGAGUGUAUGUGAGGAUGGUGGAAUGUCAGGUGUAGGAGUGAAAUGCGUAGAGAUC
rnacentral:rRNA from 1 species